GUGAUAUGAACCGUUAUAACCGGCGAUACCCGAAUGGGGAAACCCAGUGUGAUUCGUCACACUAUCAUUAACUGAAUCCAUAGGUUAAUGAGGCGAACCGGGGGAACUGAAACAUCUAAGUACCCCGAGGAAAAGAAAUCAACCGAGAUUCCCCCAGUAGCGGCGAGCGAACGGGGAGGAGCCCAGAGCCUGAAUCAGCAUGUGUGUUAGUGGAAGCGUCUGGAAAGGCGCGCGAUACAGGGUGACAGCCCCGUACACAAAAGCGCAUGUGCUGUGAGCUCGAUGAGUAGGGCGGGACACGUGGUAUCCUGUCUGAAUAUGGGGGGACCAUCCUCCAAGGCUAAAUACUCCUGACUGACCGAUAGUGAACCAGUACCGUGAGGGAAAGGCGAAAAGAACCCCGGCGAGGGGAGUGAAAAAGAACCUGAAACCGUGUACGUACAAGCAGUGGGAGCNNAUAGGGGAGCCGGAGGGAAACCGAGUCUUAAUUGGGCGUUAAGUUGCAGGGUAUAGACCCGAAACCCGGUGAUCUAGCCAUGGGCAGGUUGAAGGUUGGGUAACACUAACUGGAGGACCGAACCGACUAAUGUUGAAAAAUUAGCGGAUGACCUGUGGCUGGGGGUGAAAGGCCAAUCAAACCGGGAGAUAGCUGGUUCUCCCCGAAAGCUAUUUAGGUAGCGCCUCGUGAAUUCAUCUCCGGGGGUAGAGCACUGUUUCGGCUAGGGGGCCAUCCCGGCUUACCAACCCGAUGCAAACUGCGAAUACCGGAGAAUGUUAUCACGGGAGACACACGGCGGGUGCUAACGUCCGUCGUGAAGAGGGAAACAACCCAGACCGCCAGCUAAGGUCCCAAAGUCAUGGUUAAGUGGGAAACGAUGUGGGAAGGCCCAGACAGCCAGGAUGUUGGCUUAGAAGCAGCCAUCAUUUAAAGAAAGCGUAAUAGCUCACUGGUCGAGUCGGCCUGCGCGGAAGAUGUAACGGGGCUAAACCAUGCACCGAAGCUGCGGCAGCGAACGUAUCACCCAAGACAACUUUACGGAGUUGACGAUUGACGGAGCGAAGCGACGUCAAAGCGUUCAUUAAAGUCGAGUUGGCUUAGGGAUACGUUCGUUGGGUAGGGGAGCGUUCUGUAAGCCUGUGAAGGUGUGUCGUGAGGCAUGCUGGAGGUAUCAGAAGUGCGAAUGCUGACAUAAGUAACGAUAAAGCGGGUGAAAAGCCCGCUCGCCGGAAGACCAAGGGUUCCUGUCCAACGUUAAUCGGGGCAGGGUGAGUCGACCCCUAAGGCGAGGCCGAAAGGCGUAGUCGAUGGGAAACGGGUUAAUAUUCCCGUACUUGGUGUUACUGCGAAGGGGGGACGGAGAAGGCUAUGUUGGCCGGGCGACGGUUGUCCCGGUUUAAGCGUGUAGGUGUGUGUUCCAGGUAAAUCCGGUUCACUUUAACACUGAGGCGUGACGACGAGGCACUACGGUGCUGAAGCAACAAAUGCCCUGCUUCCAGGAAAAGCCUCUAAGCAUCAGGUAACACGAAAUCGUACCCCAAACCGACACAGGUGGUCAGGUAGAGAAUACCAAGGCGCUUGAGAGAACUCGGGUGAAGGAACUAGGCAAAAUG
rnacentral:rRNA from 1 species